AUACGGAGGGUGCAAGCGUUACUCGGAAUCACUGGGCGUAAAGCGCGCGCAGGCGGCUAUUUAAGUUGGAUGUGAAAGCCUACGGCUCAACCGUAGAACUGCAUCCAAAACUAUUUAGCUAGAGUGUGGGAGAGGAAGAUGGAAUUAGUUGUGUAGGGGUAAAAUCCGUAGAGAUAACUAGGAAUACCAAAAGCGAAGGCAAUCUUCUGGAACACUACUGACGCUGAGGCGCGAAAGCGAGGGGAGCAAACAGGAUUAGAAACCCCUGUAGUCC
rnacentral:rRNA from 1 species